rnacentral:rRNA from 1 species
CGGGAGAAUUGCUAGCUUGCUAAUAAUUCUCUAGUGGCGCACGGGUGAGUAACACGUGAGUAACCUGCCCCCAAGAGUGGGAUAGCCCCGGGAAACUGGGAUUAAUACCGCAUAAAAUCGCAAGAUUAAAGCAGCAAUGCGCUUGGGGAUGGGCUCGCGUCCUAUUAGUUAGUUGGUGAGGUAACGGCUCACCAAGGCGAUGACGGGUAGCCGGUCUGAGAGGAUGUCCGGCCACACUGGAACUGAGACACGGUCCAGACACCUACGGGUGGCAGCAGUCGAGAAUCAUUCACAAUGGGGGAAACCCUGAUGGUGCGACGCCGCGUGGGGGAAUGAAGGUCUUCGGAUUGUAAACCCCUGUCAUGUGGGAGCAAAUUAAAAAGAUAGUACCACAAGAGGAAGAGACGGCUAACUCUGUGCCAGCAGCCGCGGUAAUACAGAGGUCUCAAGCGUUGUUCGGAAUCACUGGGCGUAAAGCGUGCGUAGGCGGUUUCGUAAGUCGUGUGUGAAAGGCGGGGGCUCAACCCCCGGACUGCACAUGAUACUGCGAGACUAGAGUAAUGGAGGGGGAACCGGAAUUCUCGGUGUAGCAGUGAAAUGCGUAGAUAUCGAGAGGAACACUCGUGGCGAAGGCGGGUUCCUGGACAUUAACUGACGCUGAGGCACGAAGGCCAGGGGAGCGAAAGGGAUUAGAUACCCCUGUAGUCCUGGCAGUAAAC